AAACUGGGUCUUUGUUUGUGUUUGGGGAUAAAGUGGUAGCUAAUCUUGGAUUUGGGGAGGCCAAGAAUGCAACCAUGCCAUCCAUGAUCAAUACAUUGCCAUAUUCAGGAGAAGUUGCAUGUGGUGGCUACCACACUUGUGUUGUAACAAUCAGGUGACCGAGAUUCCGUUUAACAAUUUUCUUUAUUACUGGAACAAGUCUUAACUAAGAUCAAGAUCAAAGUACUUCACUAAGUUAUAUAUGCAGGCGUUGCAAUGAGAGGUGAUGAUGAUUUGGCAUUAUAUUCUCAUCAGGAUGAAUUUUAUUUUAGAAAUUGUAAUACUUUGUGUGUCUCUGUGUGUGUGUGUUUUUUUAUGUAUUAAAUUACAUAUUGAAUCAAUGUUUAUGUAUUAAAUUUAAAUUCAUUAAUUUUUAUAUUUAGUUUUGAAGUUUAAAUUUUAAUGGAAAA